CAGGUCUAGGGAAGCUAGCUCACAUUUUCUGGGUAGGCUGAGGCACAUAUAAAAACAAACGUUUCUCAUCAACAUUCUAUUCUAAUCUCUAAAUUCUAAUUACAAAACAAUAUACGGACCAUAAUAUUGAAGAAACUAUACAAAGAACGAUAACUCUAUGAAAACUAACUGACCAUGGCAAUCUACAUUCUAACAUCCCCGCCCAACAAAAAACAAAUCCAUUUUGUUUCAGAUGGUCAGUGAGAUUUCAUAACAUUAAAAAACAUUAUUCAACUAGAUCAAUCAUCAUCAAAUACUACUACUUUCGAAGACUCAAACUCAAUGCUAUAAUAUCAUUUGCGUGGUAUAUUUAGACUCACAGUAAAUAUUUAUCAACAAUGUGAAUAACCU
rnacentral:lncRNA from 1 species